rnacentral:tRNA from 1 species
GUGCGCAGGCAGGGGAUACUUCCACUGUUAAUGGGGCGGUCGCGGGUUCGAGUCCCGUCGUCG